UACGGAGGGUGCAAGCGUUAUCCGGAUUCACUGGGUUUAAAGGGUGCGUAGGUGGGCAGUUAAGUCAGUGGUGAAAUCUCUGGGCUUAACCCAGAAAUUGCCAUUGAUACUGUAGGGCUUGAGUAUAGAUGCCGUUGGCGGAAUAUGACAUGUAGUGGUGAAAUACAUAGAGAUGUCAUAGAACACCGAUUGCGAAGGCAGCUAACGAAACUAUAACUGACACUGAGGCUCGAAAGUGUGGGGAUCAAACAGG
rnacentral:rRNA from 1 species